CUUACGGGAGACAGCAGUGGGGAAUAUUGGGCAAUGGAGGCAACUCUGACCCAGCAACGCCGCGUGAAUGAUGAAGGUCUUCGGAUUGUAAAGUUCUUUUCUAAGGGAAGAAGAAAGUGACGGUACCUUAGGAAUAAGCCUCGGCUAACUACGUUCCAGCAGCCGCGGUAAUACGUAGGAGGCAAGCGUUAUCCGGAAUGACUGGGCGUAAAGGGUGCGUAGGUGGUUUGACAAGUUAGUAGCGCAACUCCGGAGCUCAACUUCGGAACUACUACUAAAACUGUUGGACUUGAGUGCAGGAGGGGCAAUCGGAAUUCCUAGUGUAGCGGUGGAAUGCGUAGAUAUUAGGAGGAACACCGAUUGCGAAGGCAGCUUACCAAGCUACUUCUGACGUUGAGGCACGAAAGCGUGGGGAGCAAACAGGAUUAGAUACCCGAGUAGUC
rnacentral:rRNA from 1 species